UUCAACUCGACGCAACGCGAAGAACCUUACCUGGGCUCGAACGGCUGGUCAACGAUCGUGGAAACACGGUUACUCCGCAAGGGGGUCCAGUCGAGGUGCUGCAUGGCUGUCGUCAGCUCGUGUCGUGAGAUGUUGGGUUAAGUCCCGCAACGAGCGCAACCCUCGUCCUGUGUUGCCAUCAUUCAGUUGGGAACUCGCAGGAGACCGCCAGCGAUAAGCUGGAGGAAGGUGGGGAUGACGUCAAGUCCUCAUGGCCUUUAUGUCCAGGGCUACACACGUGCUACAAUGGCCGGUACAAUGCGCUGCUAAGUCGCAAGACGGAGCCAAUCGCAAAAAACCGGUCUCAGUUCGGAUUGCAGGCUGCAACUCGCCUGCAUGAAGCUGGAAUCGCUAGUAAUGGCAUAUCAGAACGAUG
rnacentral:rRNA from 1 species